rnacentral:rRNA from 2 species
GUUAGCUAUGCCCAGCACAUGAAAACUCCAUAGUUAAGCGUGCUCAGGUGGAAGUAGUACCAGGAUGGGUGACCUCCUAGGAAGUCUCCACAGGGGUAACC